rnacentral:rRNA from 1 species
GACGAACGCUGGCGGCGUGCCUAAUACAUGCAAGUCGAACGCAGUGGGGACGGGUGAGUAACACGUGGGUAACCUCCCAUCAGAGGGGAUAACACUUGGAAACAGGUGCUAAACCGAUACUGAUGGAUGGACCCGCGGUGCAUUAGCUAGUUGGUGAGGUAACGGCUCACCAAGGCCACGAGGCAUAGGCGACCUGAGAGGGUGAUCGGCCCAACGGGGACUGAGAGACGGCCCGGACUCCUAGGGUAGGAAGGAGUGGGGAAGCUGCGGCAAUGGACGAAAGUCUGACCGAGCAAUGCCGUGUGGUUGAAGAAGGGUUGAGGAUCUUAAAGCUCUGUUGUUAGAGAGGCGGUAGCUAACCAGAAAGCCACGGCUAACUACGUGCCAGCAGCCGCGGUAAUUC